AUUGCUUACUCCUAGGAAAAAGAUCAGAAAAGGCGCGCAUGUAUAUUAUUUCCUGCCACCUCGGGGAUCGACUGGGCUAUCAUUGAGGAACACGUAUUUCAACCCUAAAAACUUCUCAGAUUCUUAGAAAUGGCGGACCAGGCCUCGCAUUUUAGGCAGCCGAGUUGGAGUUUCUUGCAGAGGAUGAAAUGAUUGAGAUUGUACCAAACAUGAGGAUGGAUCCCCUGAAUUUCGUCUCUGGGGAUUUUGGUCCUUUUAGACCGCAAAUAGCAAUGCAGGUGCCACUGUGGUUGGCAGUGGCGUUGAAGAAGAGAGGCAAUUGCAUGAUUCGGCCCCCAGGUGGAUGUCUGUUGAUUUUGCUGGCUUCUACCAUGCUACGCCCACAAACGUGCGGAGUACUUCCUUUUCUUUAUGCUUGGAAAGUUUGGAACUUUGUAAUUGAGUCAAGUUUUUCUGCUUAGUAUCUCUUACAGUUUCAGUAUUUUGAUUUAUGUCAAGUUCUUCUACCCCAGCUCUUCUGUGAAUUUUGUAAGAUAAUUCAUCAUCUAUGUCAUCUCGCUCCAUUUCAAAAUUAAUGCUAUCUUGACUCAUUGUGAAAGGGUCAUCUUUCUGAAAGAGAAAAGCUGUAAUGCUGUAUUAAUGCAUCUUUUGAACAUGAAUAUACAUAUAAACUUCGUUACAGGGUUUUUAACUUCUGUAUUGAUCUACAAGUUUGCAUUAUUUGGUUUUCAAUUCCCAAUACCAAGAACCAAGCGAGAAGGAUAAGGAUUUCUUAUUGAUUCCCCUUUUUUCCACCAGAAAAGUUAACACAAGUGUUGGAAGUAGAACGAGAUUCUGAAAAGUUUCAACCUUUCCCAUUU